UGCCAGCCGCCGCGGUAAUACGGAGGGUGCAAGCGUUGUUCGGAAUUAUUGGGCGUAAAGCGCGUGUAGGCGGUUCGUUAAGUCUGAUGUGAAAGCCCGGGGCUCAACCCCGGAAGUGCAUUGGAAACUGGCGAACUUGAGUACGGGAGAGGAAAGUGGAAUUCCGAGUGUAGGGUGAAAUCCGUAGAUAUUCGGAGGAACACCAGAGGCGAAGGCGGUCUCUUGGUCCGAAACUGACGCUGAGGCGCGAAAGCGUGGGGAGCAAACAGGAUUAGAUA
rnacentral:rRNA from 1 species